rnacentral:rRNA from 1 species
AGAGUUUGAUCAUGGCUCAGAUUGAACGCUGGCGGCAUGCCUUACACAUGCAAGUCGAACGGCAGCAUGAUCUAGCUUGCUAGAUUGAUGGCGAGUGGCGAACGGGUGAGUAAUACAUCGGAACGUGCCCUGUAGUGGGGGAUAACUAGUCGAAAGAUUAGCUAAUACCGCAUACGACCUGAGGGUGAAAGUGGGGGACCGCAAGGCCUCAUGCCAUAGGAGCGGCCGAUGUCUGAUUAGCUAGUUGGUGAGGUAAAGGCUCACCAAGGCGACGAUCAGUAGCUGGUCUGAGAGGACGAUCAGCCACACUGGGACUGAGACACGGCCCAGACUCCUACGGGAGGCAGCAGUGGGGAAUUUUGGACAAUGGGCGAAAGCCUGAUCCAGCAAUGCCGCGUGUGUGAAGAAGGCCUUCGGGUUGUAAAGCACUUUUGUCCGGAAAGAAAUGGCUCUGGUUAAUACCUGGGGUCGAUGACGGUACCGGAAGAAUAAGGACCGGCUAACUACGUGCCAGCAGCCGCGGUAAUACGGAGGGUCCAAGCGUUAAUCGGAAUUACUGGGCGUAAAGCGUGCGCAGGCGGUUGUGCAAGACCGAUGUGAAAUCCCCGAGCUUAACUUGGGAAUUGCAUCGGUGACUGCACGGCUAGAGUGUGUCAGAGGGGGGUAGAAUUCCACGUGUAGCAGUGAAAUGCGUAGAGAUGUGGAGGAAUACCGAUGGCGAAGGCAGCCCCCUGGGAUAACACUGACGCUCAUGCACGAAAGCGUGGGGAGCAAACAGGAUUAGAUACCCUGGUAGUCCACGCCCUAAACGAUGUCAACUAGUUGUUGGGGAUUCAUUUCCUUAGUAACGUAGCUAACGCGUGAAG